rnacentral:lncRNA from 10 species
UUGCUCAUCCCAUCCCAUAACCCCAGCACAACCCCACCUUCUAUCUUCCCCAGGGUGAAGAGAGGCAAGAAGCAAAAUUCACAUGUAGAGUACAAACUCAAGAAAUUACUACUUCAGGCCAGGCGCUGUGGCUCCCGCCUAUAAUCCCAACACUUUGGAAGGCCGAGGCGGAGGUGGCUGGGCCUCUGCUGCUUAACCAGCUAACCAGGGCUGAAUAUCCUUGCGGUAAAUAGUACCAGCAGCUGGGGUAUGUCAGGGGAGGUGGAAGAUACAGUAAGUGUCAUCUACAUCAGAUCAAUACCACACGUUAUGCAGAAGCGUAAGUCCCUCUCCAGACUAGCUUGAAAGCUUAAAACCAGGCCGGGUGCAGUGACUCACACCUGUAAUCCCAGUACUUUGGAAGGCUGAGGUGGGCAGAUCGCUUUGAGCUCAAGAGUUGGAGACCAGCCUGGGCAAUAUGGUGAAACCCCCUUUCUACAAAAAAAAUGUACAAAAGUAAAAUAAAAUAAAACAGCUGGGCAUGGUGGGUCACAUCAGUAGUCCCAGCUACUCAGGAGGCUGAGGCUGGAGAAUAGCUUGAGUCUGGGAAGCUGAGGUUGCUGUGAACUGAGAUUGCACCACUGCACUCCAGCCUGGGUGACAAGAGUGAGACCCUGUCUCAACAAAACAAAACAAAACAAAACAAAACAAAACAAAACAAAGCAAAACAAAACAAACAAAA